rnacentral:rRNA from 1 species
CAGUCGCCACGGUAAUACGAAGGGUGCAAGCGUUAAUCGGAAUUACUGGGCGUAAAGCGCGCGUAGGUGGUUUGGUAAGAUGGAUGUGAAAUCCCCGGGCUCAACCUGGGAACUGCAUCCAUAACUGCCUGACUAGAGUACGGUAGAGGGUGGUGGAAUUUCCUGUGUAGCGGUGAAAUGCGUAGAUAUAGGAAGGAACACCAGUGGCGAAGGCGACCACCUGGACUGAUACUGACACUGAGGUGCGAAAGCGUGGGGAGCAAACAGGAUUAGAUACCCGAGUAGUCCCUGUCUCUUAUAU